rnacentral:lncRNA from 1 species
AAGAAUCAACAGAGAAAGGCUUCAAACCGUGACGCAGAUCUGUCACCUAUGAUAAAAGGCAGGGGAAAGUCGAAUUGGGCAGAAAGAGCCUCAGACUGCAGUGCAGAUCUCACAAAGUCUCAGCCAACCUGGUGGGGAGUUCCGAACAAAGAUUGCCCGAUAGUGAUUACCUAUGUUCUGCAGAAAUGGCCGGGCCUUUAUAGGCACAUCAUGCUCAAGCUUUGGCUAGGGCUGGCCCCAGAACAGCAGAGCCUCACAAUUAUGUGCUGACAGAGACCCUGAAGACAUUGCAUGUGGAGGCUGUCAUCUAACUGCACUCCUUGCAGCUGGUGAACAAGUUCUUUCUCGAAGGAAGAUGCAAGUGGUGCAUCUCUUUGUUCUCCUUAGCAGGCAGUAACACCAGAUGUUGACCUCAUUUGCAUCAGUAGUAUGAACACCUUCUAUACUAAACAAGAAGAUUAGCCCUGAGCUAACAUCUGCUGCCAAUCCUCACCUUUUUUUCUGAGGAAGACUGGCCCUGAGCUAACAUUCGUGCUCAUCUUCCUCUACUUUAUAUGUGGGACGCCUGCCACAGCAUGGCUCAACAAGCAGUGCAUGGGUCUGCACCCAGGAUCCGAACUGCUGAACCCCGGGCUGCCGAAGCAGAACAUGUGAACUCCACUGCUGCACCAGCAGGUGGGAGUCAAGAGAGUGCACACAGAAUAUAAAGCCCCUUCUCAGGAACACAUUUGAGAUGCAAGCACCAACCAACCACCCGGAACCAGACCAAGCCUCACCAUAAGAGCUAUGCCUAUGAACUUUGCUUUAUUUUUAGCGCUAAGA